rnacentral:rRNA from 1 species
GAGAAUGUUAUCACGGGAGACACACGGCGGGUGCUAACGUCCGUCGUGAAGAGGGAAACAACCCAGACCGCCAGCUAAGGUCCCAAAGUCAUGGUUAAGUGGGAAACGAUGUGGGAAGGCCCAGACAGCCAGGAUGUUGGCUUAGAAGCAGCCAUCAUUUAAAGAAAGCGUAAUAGCUCACUGGUCGAGUCGGCCUGCGCGGAAGAUGUAACGGGGCUAAACCAUGCACCGAAGCUGCGGCAGCGACGCUUAUGCGUUGUUGGGUAGGGGAGCGUUCUGUAAGCCUGCGAAGGUGGCCUGUGAGGGUUGCUGGAGGUAUCAGAAGUGCGAAUGCUGACAUAAGUAACGAUAAAGCGGGUGAAAAGCCCGCUCGCCGGAAGACCAAGGGUUCCUGUCCAACGUUAAUCGGGGCAGGGUGAGUCGACCCCUAAGGCGAGGCCGAAAGGCGUAGUCGAUGGGAAACGGGUUAAUAUUCCCGUACUUGGUGUUACUGCGAAGGGGGGACGGAGAAGGCUAUGUUGGCCGGGCGACGGUU